GAUGAACGCUGGCGGCAUGCCUAAGACAUGCAAGUCGAACGAGGUGGCCCAUUGAAGUCUGAGUGCUUGCACAAAGAUGGAUUUGGAUUUUCCACCUAGUGGCAAACGGGUGAGUAACACGUGGGUUACCUGCCUCUAAGUUGGGGAUAACAACUGGAAACGGUUGAUAAUACCGAAUGUGCUCUACGGAGUAAAGAAGCCCUUAAAGCUUCGCUUAGAGAUGGGCCUGCGGCGUAUUAGUUAGUUGGUGGGGUAAUGGCCUACCAAGACAGCGAUGCGUAGCCGAACUGAGAGGUUAAUCGGCCACACUGGGACUGAGACACGGCCCAG
rnacentral:rRNA from 1 species